rnacentral:rRNA from 1 species
AGAGUUUGAUUCUGGCUCAGGACGAACGCUGGCGGCGUGCUUAACACAUGCAAGUCGAACGAUGAAGCCUAGCUUGCUAGGUGGAUUAGUGGCGAACGGGUGAGUAAUACGUGAGUGACCUACCUUUGACUCUGGGAUAAGCCUGGGAAACUGGGUCUAAUACCGGAUACGACCAAUCUCCGCAUGGGGUGUUGGUGGAAAGCGUUAUGUAGUGGUUAUAGAUGGGCUCACGGCCUAUCAGCUUGUUGGUGAGGUAACGGCUCACCAAGGCGACGACGGGUAGCCGGCCUGAGAGGGUGACCGGCCACACUGGGACUGAGACACGGCCCAGACUCCUACGGGAGGCAGCAGUGGGGAAUAUUGCACAAUGGGCGCAAGCCUGAUGCAGCGACGCCGCGUGAGGGAUGACGGCCUUCGGGUUGUAAACCUCUGUUAGCAGGGAAGAAGAGAGAUUGACGGUACCUGCAGAGAAAGCGCCGGCUAACUACGUGCCAGCAGCCGCGGUAAUACGUAGGGCGCGAGCGUUGUCCGGAAUUAUUGGGCGUAAAGAGCUUGUAGGCGGUUUGUCGCGUCUGCUGUGAAAGGCCGGGGCUUAACCCCGUGUAUUGCAGUGGGUACGGGCAGACUAGAGUGCAGUAGGGGAGACUGGAAUUCCUGGUGUAGCGGUGGAAUGCGCAGAUAUCAGGAGGAACACCGAUGGCGAAGGCAGGUCUCUGGGCUGUAACUGACGCUGAGAAGCGAAAGCAUGGGGAGCGAACAGGAUUAGAUACCCUGGUAGUCCAUGCCGUAAACGUUGGGCACUAGGUGUGGGGGACAUUCCACGUUUUCCGCGCCGUAGCUAACGCAUUAAGUGCCCCGCCUGGGGAGUACGGCCGCAAGGCUA